AACGAACGCUGGCGGCAUGCCUAACACAUGCAAGUCGAACGAGACCUUCGGGUCUAGUGGCGCACGGGUGCGUAACGCGUGGGAACCUGCCCUUAGGUUCGGAAUAACUCCCCGAAAGGGGUGCUAAUACCGGAUAAUGUCCUCGGACCAAAGAUUUAUCGCCUUUGGAUGGGCCCGCGUUGGAUUAGCUAGUUGGUAGGGUAAAAGCCUGUCAAGGCGACGAUCCAUAGCUGGUCUGAGAGGAUGAUCAGCCACACUGGGACUGAGACACGGCCCAGACUCCUACGGGAGGCAGCAGUGGGGAAUAUUGGACAAUGGGCGAAAGCCUGAUCCAGCAAUGCCGCGUGAGUGAUGAAGGCCUUAGGGUUGUAAAGCUCUUUUACCCGGGAUGAUAAUGACAGUACCGGGAGAAUAAGCUCCGGCUAACUCCGUG
rnacentral:rRNA from 1 species